AGGGUGUUCACAUACUUUUUGUUUGGCUUGCUUAUGUUGUUUUGAGAACGAGUUUGUUGAGGUUGAACUGCAGAUUGGUUGACAUUAGAGAUCGUCGAAGGUUUUGGUUCUGGGAUUAUAGGAAUUGUGUGGGAAGACAACAUUGCGGUGAAAAGUUGAGUGGCCCAUUUAUCUUAUAUAUUACUAAGGAUCUCUUCCAACAUCCGAUGUGGGGUACUUUGUGUCUAAUACGCUCCCUCGAGAUGAUGGCUCUUUGAGCAUCAAUCUCAGAAUGCUCGGGCAAGGAUCGAUGGGCCAACUUUGGGCCAGAUCGAUGGGCCAACUUUGGGCAAGAUUGAUGUGGAUCGAGUUGAACUGUAUGAAUCGGGUUCUGAUACCAUGUUGGUUGAAUGACUUGAUUCAUUAGAAGAGUAGAUGUACAAUAUAUAUACAGACGUCUAAUGCUAGGGUAUCUAAUACAAGUAAUUACAUUGUAAUCCCUAAUCAUAUAUUUCCUUAUCUUGUCUAUAGGAGAUAGAUAUGCUCUAGCUGCGUGAUUUUACCGCUCUGAACGAGACGACCGAGCUUGGUGACUGGUGUCCAUUUCUUGUCUGGGAUGGCCUCCAUGGUGUCCGCGGCCUCUUCUAGGACCGCCUCUUCCGCCACCGCGACUGCUGAAUCCACGUCCGAAAGUGCCACGGUCACCGCCACGCUCAGUGCUGCGUUCUCCGCCUCUUUCCACCAUUGUCGAUGCAGUGAGCUUGCUUAGGGGUUUGAAGGUAUAUAGGUGGGCAAAAGAUCAGGGUUUUCUUAAACCAGAAUUAUGGGCUCGUGGACUGAAGUUUGAUUAAUUUGCCUAUUUAGGAUAACCCCGGUUUUUCAAAGAAAAAUUCAAAUAAUUCGAACUUUUUUAUAAGAUAUUGGAUAAUUCAAACAUUUUGAAAUAUUUUUGAUAAAAAAAAUUCUGAUAAUUCAGCUUUUUUUUUUAAUAAUUUGAUCUAUAAAUGAGUUUUAGAAUAUUUGGUUAUUUUAAAACUUUAAAUAUUUAAUUAAUAUUUUAUGUAUAUAAGCUGUAUUUUGAAAUUUCGGAUAUGCGUUCAGUUUUUUGUUUGGUUUUCAGUUCGAUUUUGAUUUUUUCAUCUAAAAAUAUAAAAGAAACCCAAUCAGAUAUUUACUAAUUUGUUGACAAAAAAAAAGAUAUUUACUAAUUUGAUUUAAUUUUAUUGGUUCAGUAAUGUAUGGUUCGGUUUCAGGGAAAUGUGCCCGAACUUCAAUCAAUACUAUCCUCACAUAGACCAAGCGAGUCAGAUCGACCACAUGAUGAAUUAAGGGGCUAUGUUCAACAGACGAGGCUCCUCUUUCUGGCAACCUGUUCAGAACACGUGGUGGCGGCUAUUGACAACAUGUGUGGACGCGUCUCUAAACUCUACUUUUCUUUUAACGUUUUUGACCCGCGUCUCUAAACUCUACUUUUCUUUUAACGUUUUUAACGUUAUGGUCAUCCUUAUGUGUGGAGUUCGGCUAAUUUGGGGUUCUCUAAUUCCAGUUUAGUUGCAGAGACAAUAGCUUUACUUGUGGCAAUAUAUCCUAUAAAAGCUGUCACAAUUAUUAAUGGGAAGAUUACAACUCCAAGUCAGCAGAAUGUUUGGAUAGGACGAUAUAGCAAUAUGAUCUUUGAAAGAGACUCAGAAAUCUUGGUUAAAACGAUCAAUGAUCAACUAACGAACUCAACCAUUCAUAAUCUUCUUGAAGAAAUUACUAGCUUGAAGAAUAAGCUUUUUCUAUCAAUAUUUACUUUUGUCAAACGUAAUGGAAAUCAAAUCACCCAUAAAAUCUUAACUGUCCUAAGGGUGAGUUUCUCUUCAGCCAGUAGAGUUUCUCUUCCACCACUCCCCCCUGGAUUUAUCUUCAAGAGUGAUUCAAGCCAAAACUUUUUUUUUAUCGAUAUAUAUAUUUUUUUGAUAAUAGGCGAUCACAAAGGAGUAAAGGAACAACCCGGAUCCAAGAAAUAAGAAAAGAAAAACGUGGAGAAAUGAGAAGAUGAAAGAUGAAAGAAAACAAACCAGCCAAAGUGGCUCUGAUACCACUUGAUACGCCUUAGACUGAAGGAUCACUUUAGCUGGGUGUUGGAUAUGAUACAAGAAGGCAAACAACACUUCUGGAACUGAGAUGGAUUGAAAGGAUCGUUAAGAGAUGCGGAAUGGCUCUUGAUAUACCCACGAUCUAAGGCAAAACACCAAAGAAAGAAUGAAUGUGUCGGCUAACCACCAAACAACACACAAAGAUGAAUUGGUUGACCACCAAAUCAACAAGCUGGUUCACACCAAUGAACUAGCUAAAGAAAACUCUCUCUCUCACUCAGAGAAGAAACAAAAUAAACUCAAAACAUAGACUGAUUUUAUUCAUAGAAUGAGACUACAUAUUUAUAGUGUUUGUAGUCAAAGACUAAUAAAGAAAAUACACGGAAAAGAAUGCAUAGAAAAUACAAAUUUGACCAGAUCUGAAUUAAUGAGUCAAAGACUUAGUCUUCCAUGCAGAUUGGUCAAAGAUGGCCCCUUCAGAUAAUGUUCAGGUUCAUCUGAACCAGAUGGAUGCACGGGGUAAAGAUAAGGACGCUUGCGGGACUGUCCGGAUGGUCCACCGAAUGAGAAUGCAUAUCCGUCUUCGGUUUCUUCACGACCCAAGCUAAGUCUGGCUCGACCGUGGGUUUUAGAAUGUCGAGUUGGUCGGGGAAGACGAGCUCCGUUACGGUCAGUUCGGUCAUCUGGUCGUGGUUCCAGCCGAAGCUCCAACCAGGACGCACGCGGGACGGCUCGGUCAGUCUGAUCGCUACGGUCGGAUGAACGAACCCCGGUCAAAUUUUUCAAAACGUCCUGAUCUCCAUGCUGGUCGGCUCCAAUGGACCGAUCCACGAACCAGGGCACAUCACUUGUGUUGCUAUCAGUAACGAUGAUAUCGUUGACGUAUACUAGAAGAUAGACUAUGUCAUUGCCUUGUCGUAGCACAAAGAGUGAGGUAUCAGCGACAGAGUUCCGAAAAUCAAGUGAUAGUACAUAGACCUUGAGUUCUUGGUACCAAGCGCAUGGGGACUGUUUCAAGCCGUAAAUCACUUUAUUAAGGCGACAAACAUAGUCAGGUCGAUCCUUGUCCACAAAUCCCGGUGGUUGCGUCAUAUACACUUCUUCUGUGAAGCGAGCUUGCAGGAAAGCGUGGUUUACGUCGAGUUGUCAAAGAGGCCAUGUCUUAGUUUCUGCAACGCCAAGUAUCGUUCUCAUUGUUGUUGCUUUGAUCACAUGACUGAAAGUAUCUGCAAAAUCAAUCCCAUAUUAUAAACACGAGCCACGAGCCUUGAUUUGUGCAUGUCAAGUUGAUCGUUAUGGAGCAAUUUUUAUCUGUAAAAAUCCAACGACAACCAACAAUGUUUUGAUGCGGGGAUGGUGGAAUCGAAUCCUAAGUUCUGUUUUUGAUUUGAGCAUUCAACUUUACCGAACAAGCUUGUCUCCAGGAUGGAUAUCGCAACGCCUGGUUAAUGGUUUUGGGUAUUUGGUAUUUUUGUAUUUUGGUGGUGAGGGUGUUCACAUACUUUUUGUUUGGCUUGCUUAUGUUGUUUUGAGAACGAGUUUGUUGAGGUUGAACUGCAGAUUGGUUGACAUUAGAGAUCGUCGAAGGUUUUGGUUCUGGGAUUAUAGGAAUUGUGUGGGAAGACAACAUUGCGGUGAAAAGUUGAGUGGCCCAUUUAUCUUAUAUAUUACUAAGGAUCUCUUCCAACAUCCGAUGUGGGGUACUUUGUGUCUAAUACGCUCCCUCGAGAUGAUGGCUCUUUGAGCAUCAAUCUCAGAAUGCUCGGGCAAGGAUCGAUGGGCCAACUUUGGGCCAGAUCGAUGGGCCAACUUUGGGCAAGAUUGAUGUGGAUCGAGUU
rnacentral:lncRNA from 1 species